UGAAUGAAAGGGAGGUGAGCUUAUCGAAAGAUUUAGGUCGCCAUGACGAUUGUCAAAUUUGACACUAUAUAACCGGUAUUGUUUACCUUUUCUUCCUGUGCAUAACAUCGUCGCACAAUCAGUUUUAUUUCUUCAACAGGCAUUGUAUGGAUUGUUUCAUUAUUUCAGUAUUCUAAUAUAUUGGAAACAAUUCAUUACGGAAUUCGGAUUACGUGCUUACGUUACAGUUGAACGUGCUGCUUUGUGAACCCUAAAGAGAUUGGCCCAUGCUGCCGUUUCAUCGUUGGCGACUCCAUUGGCCAGGCUUCACACCAGCCGCACAUCAAGGGAGGAAGUCAUUCUCCCUCCCUUAAGCGCAUCACCUUCUGCAUCGGCCUCGGCGUAUAUGGUCCCGUCUGCAUCGCAUCACGGUGACGGUACAUUCCACCUCGGCUGCAGAAAGGAAGUCCCGCAUCAAAGGCGAUGAAAUAUUCCGGCUCAUAUGCAGCACAGAAGCUUGACUGCCAACAAUUUACAACUAAACAGCUUAGGCAACGUAAAUAUUAGCGAAAUCUAACACUGGAGCAUUAGAACCGAAUAAGAUAGCCUAACCAAACUCUUAGAAUGCUACGAUACCAGACGACGGCUGAAAUUACAUACGUUAUUUGUUGAAAAAACAAGUGCAUCGGUACAUGCUAGCGCUACUCAAAAGAAUCAUCAGAAGCAAAAUAGUAUGCUCAACAGUAUGCAUGACUGUUACAAAUAUACUCAACAUCUUUUUUUCUGAAUUGGUCGCCGUGCCAAUCGUUUAACACGUUCAGCCCGAUGGCAGGUCCCAGGGCCUGCCAGUUAACUUUCCCGCAUGCCGGUGGCAGGCCCUGGAGCCUGCUAUUGGUAUUUUGCUAGGGAAACAAACAACAUUGCGAACAACUUCAUUUAUUUCAUUUAUAUGUUCUAGUCGGAAUAGUUAGUCUCUAAAUGAAUAUUAUCAUUAGAAUCAACCUGGUUAAUUUCACCGUUUAUAAUACAUCAUGAUAUUAUUAAAAAAAAUGCUUAUUCACUAA